rnacentral:rRNA from 1 species
ACCAGACUCCUACGGGAGGCAGCAGUGGGGAAUAUUGCACAAUGGGGGAAACCCUGAUGCAGCGACGCCGCGUGAGCGAUGAAGUAUUUCGGUAUGUAAAGCUCUAUCAGCAGGGAAGAAAAUGACGGUACCUGACUAAGAAGCCCCGGCUAACUACGUGCCAGCAGCCGCGGUAAUACGUAGGGGGCAAGCGUUAUCGGUAUUUACUGGGUGUAAAGGGAGCGUAGACGGCUGUGCAAGCCAGAUGUGAAAGCCCGGGGCUCAACCCCGGGACUGCAUUUGGAACUGCGUGGCUUGGGUGUCGGAGAGGCAGGCGGAAUUCCUAGUGUAGCGGUGAAAUGCGUAGAUAUACGGAGGAACACCAGUGGCGAGGGCGGCCUGCUGGACAUUAACUGACGCUGAGGCGCGAAAGCGUGGGGAGCAAACAGGAUUAGAUACCCCAGUA